GACGAACGCUGGCGGCGUGCUUAACACAUGCAAGUCGAACGGUAAGGCCCUUCGGGGUACACGAGUGGCGAACGGGUGAGUAACACGUGGGUGAUCUGCCCUGCACUUCGGGAUAAGCCUGGGAAACUGGGUCUAAUACCGGAUAGGACUCCUGCCUGCAUGGGUGGGGGUGGAAAGCUUUUGCGGUGUGGGAUGGGCCCGCGGCCUAUCAGCUUGUUGGUGGGGUGAUGGACUACCAAGGCGACGACGGGUAGCCGGCCUGAGAGGGUGACCGGCCACACUGGGACUGAGAUACGGCCCAGACUCCUACGGGAGGCAGCAGUGGGGAAUAUUGCACAAUGGGGGCAAGCCUGAUGCAGCGACGCCGCGUGAGGGAUGACGGCCUUCGGGUUGUAAACCUCUUUCAGCACAGACGAAGCGCAAGUGACGGUAUGUGCAGAAGAAGGACCGGCCAACUACGUGCCAGCAGCCGCCGUAA
rnacentral:rRNA from 1 species